UCCUUUGUGGCUCAGCUGGUAAAGCAUCUGCCUGCAAUGCAUAAGACCUGGGUUCAAUCCCUGGGUUGGGAA
rnacentral:tRNA from 1 species